rnacentral:rRNA from 1 species
UUCCGUAGGGGUAACCUGCGGAGGGAUCAUUACUGAGUUUACGCUCUACAACCCUUUGUGAACAUACCUAUAACUGUUGCUUCGGCGGGUAGGGUCUCCGUGACCCUCCCGGCCUCCCGCCCCCGGGCGGGUCGGCGCCCGCCGGAGGAUAACCAAACUCUGAUUUAACGACGUUUCUUCUGAGUGGUACAAGCAAAUAAUCAAAACUUUUAACAACGGAUCUCUUGGUUCUGGCAUCGAUGAAGAACGCAGCGAAAUGCGAUAAGUAAUGUGAAUUGCAGAAUUCAGUGAAUCAUCGAAUCUUUGAACGCACAUUGCGCCCGCCAGCAUUCUGGCGGGCAUGCCUGUUCGAGCGUCAUUUCAACCCUCAAGCUCUGCUUGGUGUUGGGGCCCUACAGCUGAUGUAGGCCCUCAAAGGUAGUGGCGGACCCUCCCGGAGCCUCCUUUGCGUAGUAACUUUACGUCUCGCACUGGGAUCCGGAGGGACUCUUGCCGUAAAACCCCCAAUUUUCCAAAGGUUGACCUCGGAUCAGGUAGGAAUACCCGCUGAACUUAAGCAUAUCAAUAGGCGGAGGAA